rnacentral:rRNA from 1 species
UGAGGAAUAUUGGUCAAUGGAGGCAACUCUGAACCAGCCAUGCCGCGUGCAGGAUGACGGUCCUAUGGAUUGUAAACUGCUUUUGUACAGGAAGAAAAGGAGUUACGUGUAGCUUAUUGACGGUACUGUAAGAAUAAGGAUCGGCUAACUCCGUG